rnacentral:rRNA from 1 species
AGGCCCUUUCGGGGGUACUUCAGUGGCGGACGGCUGAGUAAUGCAUAGGUAACGUGCCUCAUACUGGGGGAUAACACCGGGAAACUGGUGCUAAUACCGCAUAAGUGGCGAGCUGCAAUGCUUGUCAUUAAAGAUUUUUCGGUAUGAGAUCGGCCUGUGUCGGAUUAGCUAGUUGGUAGGCUAAUGGCCUACCAAGGCGACGAUCCGUAGUUGGUCUGAGAGGAUGACCAGCCAGAGUGGGACUGAGAACGGCCCACACUCCUACGGGAGGCAGCAGUAGGGAAUAUUGCGCAAUGGGCGAAAGCCUGACGCAGCAACACCGCGUGGAGGAUGAAGGUUUUCGGAUCGUAAACUCCUGUCGGCAGGGAAUAUAAUGACUGUACCUGCAAAGGAAGCAUCGGCUAACUACGUGCCAGCAGCCGCGGUAAUACGUAGGAUGCAAGCGUUGUCCGGAAUUAUUGGGCGUAAAGAGUUCGUAGGUGGUUAUCUAAGUCUGGUGUUAAAGCCCGGAGCUCAACUCCGGCAUGGCAUUGGAAACUGGAUGGCUAGAGUGUGGAAGAGGUAACUGGAAUUCCUGGUGUAGCGGUGAAAUGCGCAGAUAUCANGAGGAACACCCGUGGCGAAAGCGAGUUACUGGUCCAUUACUGACACUGAGGAACGAAAGCCAGGGUAGCAAAAGGGAUUAGAUACCCCUGUAGUCCUGGCCGUAAACGAUGGAUACUAGGUGUUGGAGGUUUCGACCCCUUCAGUGCCGUAGCUAACGCGAUAAGUAUCCCGCCUGGGGAGUACGACCGCAAGGUUGAAACUC